CCUACGGGACGCAGCAGUGGGGAAUAUUGGGCAAUGGAGGCAACUCUGACCCAGCAACGCCGCGUGAACGAUGAAGGUCUUCGGAUUGUAAAGUCCUUUAAGUGGGGACGAAGAAAGUGACUGUACCCACAGAAUAAGCCUCGGCUAACUACGUGCCAGCAGCCGCGGUAAUACGUAGGAGGCAAGCGUUAUCCGGAAUGACUGGGCGUAAAGGGUGCGUAGGUGGUUUGGCAAGUUGGUAGCGUAAUUCCGGGGCUCAACCUCGGCGCUACUACCAAAACUGCUGGACUUGAGUGCAGGAGGGG
rnacentral:rRNA from 1 species